rnacentral:autocatalytically_spliced_intron from 3 species
UCUUUUCGUUUAAUUAAAUAAUUUAGACAGGAAUCAAGAUCAAUAAUCGGCUUAUAACGGUGAACCCGUCAGUCCGCCCAGGGCGGACCCGGCAACACCGUGGGAAGUCAUCCGCCCAGGGCGGAUUGACCCCGUAACGACUGACCCGAAAGGGAAGAGCCCGCCAACGGCGGGCUAACACGCCGACUCUUGCAGUGAAAUCUGAGGUUAUGCGGUUCACGUUCGCCUAGGCGAAUCCGCUACGAUCCAGGGCAAGAAGAAGAUAUAGUCUGCGCCACAUGAAAGUGUGGA